rnacentral:misc_RNA from 1 species
GAUGAAGAACGUAGCGAAAUGCGAUGAGUAAUGUGAAUUGCAGAAUUCAGUGAAUCAUCGAAUCUUUGAACGCACAUUGCGCCCCUUGGUAUUCCGAGGGGCAUGCCUGUUCGAGCGUCAUUAUAACCCCUCAAGCUCAGCUUGGUGUUGGGGCCUGCUGCACUGGCAGCCCUUAAAAUCAGUGGCGGCGCCAUCUGGCUCUAAGCGUAGUAAUUCUUCUCGCUAUGGAGUCCUGGUGGAUGCUUGCCAUCAACCCCCAAUUUUUCUAUGGUUGACCUCGGAUCAGGUAGGGAUACCCGCUGAACUUAAGCAUAUCAAUAAGCGGAGGA